UGGGGAAUAUUGGACAAUGGGCGCAAGCCUGAUCCAGCCAUGCCGCGUGAGUGAUGAAGGCCCUAGGGUUGUAAAGCUCUUUCACCGGUGAAGAUAAUGACGGUAACCGGAGAAGAAGCCCCGGCUAACUUCGUGCCAGCAGCCGCGGUAAUACGAAGGGGGCUAGCGUUGUUCGGAUUUACUGGGCGUAAAGCGCACGGAGGCGGACUUUUAAGUUAGGGGUGAAAUCCCGGGGCUCAACCCCGGAACUGCCUUUGAUACUGGAAGUCUUGAGUAUGGUAGAGGUGAGUGGAAUUCCGAGUGUAGAGGUGAAAUUCGUAGAUAUUCGGAGGAACACCAGUGGCGAAGGCGGCUCACUGGACCAUUACUGACGCUGAGGUGCGAAAGCGUGGGGAGCAAACAGG
rnacentral:rRNA from 1 species